rnacentral:rRNA from 1 species
CCUACGGGCGGCAGCAGUGGGGAAUAUUGGACAAUGGGCGAAAGCCUGAUCCAGCCAUGCCGCGUGUGUGAAGAAGGCCUUCGGGUUGUAAAGCACUUUCAGUGGGGAAGAAAGCCUUGGGGCUAAUACCCUCGAGGAAGGACAUCACCCACAGAAGAAGCAUCGGCUAACUCCGUGCCAGCAGCCGCGGUAAUACGGAGGGUGCGAGCGUUAAUCGGAAUUACUGGGCGUAAAGCGCGCGUAGGCGGUCUGAUAAGCCGGUUGUGAAAGCCCCGGGCUCAACCUGGGAACGGCAUCCGGAACUGGCAGGCUAGAGUGCAGGAGAGGAAGGUAGAAUUCCCGGUGUAGCAGUGAAAUGCGUAGAGAUCGGGAGGAAUACCAGUGGCGAAGGCGGCCUUCUGGACUGACACUGACGCUGAGGUGCGAAAGCGUGGGUAGCAAACAGGAUUAGAUACCCUAGUAGUC